GACGAACGCUGGCGGCGUGCUUAACACAUGCAAGUCGAACGGAAAGGCCCUGCUUGCAGGGUACUCGAGUGGCGAACGGGUGAGUAACACGUGGGUGAUCUGCCCUGCACUUCGGGAUAAGCCUGGGAAACUGGGUCUAAUACCGGAUAGGAGCCAUUUUUAGUGUGAUGGUUGGAAAGUUUUUUCGGUGUAGGAUGAGCUCGCGGCCUAUCAGCUUGUUGGUGGGGUAAUGGCCUACCAAGGCGGCGACGGGUAGCCGGCCUGAGAGGGUGGACGGCCACAUUGGGCUAGGGGAGGCGCCCGGGCGGCAACGGGGGGAAGGGGUGGGAAAUUGAUCCAAAGGGGCCGAGGGCGGAUGGAAGGCCGCCGGGUGGGGAAGAACGGCUUUGGGGUAGGAAACGCCUUUGGUUAGGAACGAGCUUUUUGGAGGGGACCCAAAAAAAAAGACACCGGCAAACUAGUG
rnacentral:rRNA from 1 species